rnacentral:misc_RNA from 1 species
AACCAUAGAAACCUGCGGAGUACCUGCGGAAGGAUCAUUACAGAGUUGCAAAACUCCCUAAACCUUUGUGAACGUUACCUAAACCGUUGCUUCGGCGGGCGGCCCGGGUCCUUCCCGGCGCCCAUCGGCCCUCGCGGGCGCCCGCCGGAGGUAAACCAAACUAUUGCAUUGUAUGGCCUCUCUGAGUCUUCUGUACUGAAUAAGUCAAAACUUUCAGCAACGGAUCUCAGAUCGGAAGAG